AGUGCGGAAGCUACCAGCCACAUGUGGCUAUGAGCACUUGGAGUAUGGCCAGUGUGGCUGAAACACUGACUUUCUAAUGGUAUUUAAUUGGGAAUCCUGGAUUCAGGUGAUCAGAGUGGUGGAACUUCCUUCUUCAUUUCCCCUGCCCCUAAGUCUACACUAGAGUAACCCCUUGAAGAUUCCUCACAAAUAAACACCUGCGCAACCUUGA